UGCGCCUAUCUGUUAUUUCUAAUAACCAUUCCUUACUACAUGAUGGAUAUAUAAAAGGAACAAAAAGGCUAUUUUCCGAACCGUGCGACAGAGAAAACUCUGCAACUUAAAACGAAAGUGAGAAAAGGUGGUUUUGAUUCUGACCCAACGAAGAGAUUAAUAAUUUUGCUUGCUGUCUACUCUGUUUUCAGACGCUAGGGAAACAAGACUAGUGAAGAAAGAAUUUGAGGAGAUAGCAACAGAGGCAUUUUGUCCUGUUAGACAGAUAAUUGGAGAAAAGGCGGCAAAUGGCAACAAAAAAGUCAUCAAAAGUGAGCUAUGCAUGUAAUCUGGAGGUCCGGGUCCAGAUUUUCAGGUAUUACCAGAAUCCUGGCGAGACCUUUUGAUGAAAACGGGAAAGCGUAAAUGUUGCAUUAUUUGGCUUUGAGGAACGGAUAAAAGAAUCUGGCCUACCGUUUAUCAUUGCAGACUAGGUUUUGAUGUUUUGACAAGUGGAUGGAAGAUAGUCACUGCACUUUAUCGCCUGAAUCCUGGAGAUGAAUGUCUUUUUGAACUUGUAAGUCAGCGGCAGUCUAUAUUUGAUGUACGCAAACUCUGAAAGUCCAAAUGCCAAAAGAACUACUCUUGAGCAGAUACAAGAGGAAUGAAAAAGAAGCUAUGUCCAGAUUCUCAUUAACGGUUUUUGUACAGCAUUAAACUGUUGCCUAACUGGGUCUUAUAUUUUGUACAAUCAUUUUUAAGCUGCACUUUAUGUGCAACCGUUAUGCUACAACGCUUCACAAAUUAUCAUUUUGACUGCUGCAAUA